rnacentral:rRNA from 1 species
AAUGAACGCUGGUGGCAGACCUAACACAUGCAAGUCGAACGGUCUAUAUUAAACUUCGGUUUUUUAUAGAUAGUGGCAAACGGGUGAGUAAAGCAUGGGAAUCUACCUAGAAGUUUGGAAUAGCUAUUAGAAAUGAUAGAUAAUACCAAAUACACCUCGAGAGGGAAAGUUGACUUCGGUCUUCGCUUUUAGAUGAGCCCAUGUUAAAUUAGUUAGUUGGUAGGGUAAUGGCCUACCAAGAUGAUGAUUUAUAGCUGGUCUUAGAGGAUGAUCAGCCACACUGGAAUUGAGAUACGGUCCAGACUCCUACGGGAGGCAGCAGUGGGGAAUAUUGCACAAUGGGCGAAAGCCUGAUGCAGCAAUGCCGCGUGGAGGACGACGCAUUUAGGUGUGUAAACUCCUUUUAUAUGAGAAGAUAAUGACGGUAUCAUAUGAAUAAGCACCGGCUAACUCCGUGCCAGC